rnacentral:rRNA from 1 species
UGCAUAUCAAAAGCGGAGGAAAAGAAACCAACAGGGAUUGCCUCAGUAGCGGCGAGUGAAGCGGCAAGAGCUCAGAUUUGAAAUCGUGCUUUGCGGCACGAGUUGUAGAUUGCAGGUUGGAGUCUGUGUGGAAGGCGGUGUCCAAGUCCCUUGGAACAGGGCGCCCAGGAGGGUGAGAGCCCCGUGGGAUGCCGGCGGAAGCAGUGAGGCCCUUCUGACGAGUCGAGUUGUUUGGGAAUGCAGCUCCAAGCGGGUGGUAAAUUCCAUCUAAGGCUAAAUACUGGCGAGAGACCGAUAGCGAACAAGUACUGUGAAGGAAAGAUGAAAAGCACUUUGAAAAGAGAGUGAAACAGCACGUGAAAUUGUUGAAAGGGAAGGGUAUUGCGCCCGACAUGGGGAUUGCGCACCGCUGCCUCUCGUGGGCGGCGCUCUGGGCUUUCCCUGGGCCAGCAUCGGUUCUUGCUGCAGGAGAAGGGGUUCUGGAACGUGGCUCUUCGGAGUGUUAUAGCCAGGGCCAGAUGCUGCGUGCGGGGACCGAGGACUGCGGCCGUGUAGUCACGGAUGCUGGCAGAACGGCGCAACACCGCCCGUCUUGAAUCACGGACC